UGCGGCGGCCAUGGCCCAGGUGAGACGCCCGGUCCCAUUCCGAACCCGGAAGCUAAGGCCUGGCACGGCGAUGGUACUGCACCCGACAGGGUGUGGGAGAGUAGCACGCCGCCGCAU
rfam:Bifidobacterium longum NCC2705, complete genome.